rnacentral:tRNA from 1 species
AAGGGAGACCUAAUUCGGGUAUAAGACGAAAAAAGAGUAGUCGAAACCAAGAAUCAAUCCCAAAAGGUCGGAACGAGGUAUGUGGCUUUCAAACUAGGUUCUGGGUUCACACAAGACCUGAAUCAGGAUCAAGGGCUAUUAGCUCAGGUGGUUAGAGCGCACCCCUGAUAAGGGUGAGGUCCCUGGUUCGAGUCCAGGAUGGCCCACCUGCACAGGUGGCAAAACAAAGAAGCGAGGAAUCAGCACCUUAUCUUAUCUAUAUAUAAGAGAGAAUGCUGGCUCUGAGUAAAGAGUCCAGAGGAACCUUGAAAACUGCAUAGAGCUAGGUGAAAAAGCCAAAAAAGAAGACCGCAA